rfam:Lactobacillus acidipiscis strain DSM 15353 Scaffold127, whole genome shotgun sequence.
GCCACUUUAGCUCAGCAGGUAGAGCAUCACCAUGGUAAGGUGGGGGUCGCCGGUUCAAAUCCGGCAAGUGGCU